rnacentral:rRNA from 1 species
GUAAGGAAUAUUGCGCAAUGGACGAAAGUCUGACGCAGCGACGCCGCGUGGGGGAUGAAGGUCUUCGGAUUGUAAACCCCUUUCGGGAGGGAAGAUGGAGUGGGUAACCACUUGGACGGUACCUCCAGAAGCAGCCACGGCUAACUUCGUGCCAGCAGCCGCGGUAAUACGAAGGUGGCAAGCGUUGUUCGGAUUCACUGGGCGUACAGGGAGCGUAGGCGGUUGGGUAAGCCCUCCGUGAAAUCUCCGGGCCUAACCCGGAAAGUGCAGAGGGGACUGCUCAGCUAGAGGAUGGGAGAGGAGCGCGGAAUUCCCGGUGUAGCGGUGAAAUGCGUAGAGAUCGGGAGGAAGGCCGGUGGCGAAGGCGGCGCUCUGGAACAUUUCUGACGCUGAGGCUCGAAAGCGUGGGGAGCAAACAGGAUUAGAAACCCCAGUAGUCC